GACGAACGCUGGCGGCGUGCUUAACACAUGCAAGUCGAACGGAAAGGCCCUGCUUUUGUGGGGUGCUCGAGUGGCGAACGGGUGAGUAACACGUGAGUAACCUGCCCUUGACUUUGGGAUAACUUCAGGAAACUGGGGCUAAUACCGGAUAGGAGCUCCUGCUGCAUGGUGGGGGUUGGAAAGUUUCGGCGGUUGGGGAUGGACUCGCGGCUUAUCAGCUUGUUGGUGGGGUAGUGGCUUACCAAGGCUUUGACGGGUAGCCGGCCUGAGAGGGUGACCGGCCACAUUGGGACUGAGAUACGGCCCAGAGUCCUACGGGAGGCAGCAGUGGGGAAUAUUGCACAAAGGGCGGAAGCAUGAUGCAGCAACGCCGGGUGGGGGAUGACGGCCUUCGGGUUGUAAACCGCUUUCGCCUGUGACGAAGCGUGAGUGACGGUAAUGGGUAAAGAAGCACCGGCUAACUACGU
rnacentral:rRNA from 1 species